rnacentral:lncRNA from 1 species
UCUUGUACUGCUAUGGAUCGAAUUCGAGAUACUAAAAACUAACAAAGUCUUGGGAUCGACUUUUGAAGUAUUUGAUAAUUAUUGUCUUUUGUUUUUCACCUGACUUUUUGGGAUUGACUUGUGGAUGCCUAGGAUCAACUUCUUCAUUCUACAGAAACUUCCAAAAUAUUUCAAAUACUUCUUCAAAUAUUUCAAUGAUUCUUUAACUU